rnacentral:rRNA from 1 species
CACGUAGGGUGCGAGCGUUGUCCGGAAUCAUUGGGCGUAAAGCGCGUGUAGGCGGUUCGGUAAGUCCGCUGUGAAAGUCGGGGGCUCAACCCUCGGAUGCCGGUGGAUACUGUCGGGCUUGAGUACGGAAGAGGCGAGUGGAAUUCCUGGUGUAGCGGUGAAAUGCGCAGAUAUCAGGAGGAACACCAAUUGCGAAGGCAGCUCGCUGGGACGUUACUGACGCUGAGACGCGAAAGCGUGGGGAGCAAACAGG